AACGCGAAGAACCUUACCUGGUCUUGACAUCCCCCUGACCGGUCCGUAAUGGGGCCUUCUCUUCGGAGCAGGGGAGACAGGUGGUGCAUGGUUGUCGUCAGCUCGUGCCGUGAGGUGUCGGCUUAAGUGCCAUAACGAGCGCAACCCCUCUCCGUAGUUGCCAUCAGGUGAUGCUGGGCACUCUGCGGACACUGCCGCCGUAAGGUGUGAGGAAGGUGGGGAUGACGUCAAAUCAGCACGGCCCUUACGUCCGGGGCUACACACGUGCUACAAUGGCGUAAACAAAGGGAAGCGAAGCCGUGAGGUGGAGCAAAUCCCAAAAAUAACGUCUCAGUUCGGAUUGUAGUCUGCAACUCGACUACAUGAAGCUGGAAUCGCUAGUAAUCGCGAAUCAGAAUGUCGCGGUGAAUACGUUCCCGGGUCUUGUACACACGC
rnacentral:rRNA from 1 species